rnacentral:rRNA from 1 species
CCUACGGGGGGCAGCAGUGGGGAAUAUUGGACAAUGGGGGGAACCCUGAUCCAGCCAUGCCGCGUGUGUGAAGAAGGCCCUCGGGUUGUAAAGCACUUUCAGUGAGGAAGAACGCCUGGUGGUUAAUACCCAUCAGGAAAGACAUCACUCACAGAAGAAGCACCGGCUAACUCCGUGCCAGCAGCCGCGGUAAUACGGAGGGUGCGAGCGUUAAUCGGAAUUACUGGGCGUAAAGCGCGCGUAGGUGGCUUGAUAAACCGGUUGUGAAAGCCCCGGGCUCAACCUGGGAACGGCAUCCGGAACUGUCAAGCUAGAGUGCAGGAGAGGAAGGUAGAAUUCCCGGUGUAGCGGUGAAAUGCGUAGAGAUCGGGAGGAAUACCAGUGGCGAAGGCGGCCUUCUGGACUGACACUGACACUGAGGUGCGAAAGCGUGGGUAGCAAACAGGAUUAGAUACCCUAGUAGUC